CCUGAACUUCCUACUGACUUUUGACAAGUUCUUUAGAAAAUAAUGAGAAAAUAUAUAUGCGUAAGUCAGAUUCUAAAAACAAACAAUGUAAAUGAUUUCCAGGGAGCCUCUUCUCAUCUUUCCGUGUUUACCUCUUGAUUCAUCUGCCUCCAAGCUCUGCCUGGUGACAGCCUUUCACUCCUGCUGCUCACAAUCAGCCCUGUGAUGUAAGCCUCAUCUGAACCUUUCCCAGAGUGACAUGCAGGCAUCUGCUCUGCCAGGAUUAAAGGCCAGAGAAACGAACUGAACUGUUCUAAUUGCCUUGACUGCUAAACAGGAAGAAAGAAGAAGCUCCUACCCUUUGUAACAGCAUGGAUGGAACUGGAAAGCAUUAUGCUGAGUGAAAUAAGCCAGGGGUUGAAAGACAAAUACCAUAUGAUCUCACCUUUAACAGGAACCUAAACAACAAAACAAACAAAUAAACGCGAGGAGAAAACUUGUGAAGAAGACAUCAGCUGGCAGAGAGGGCCUUGCCUUUGCUGAUGGAUCAGAACAGGAUGAAAGCCAUCUCUUCAGUUCAGUAUUUAUGGUACUUUAGGCUGAGACUUUGAAGCUUUGCCUCAUUUCAGCCAUUCAUAGAGGAGCAUGUUUUUCUAAGGAAAAAAAUCUUAAG